rnacentral:misc_RNA from 1 species
GUGAAAUCGUGAAUUAAAAGGAUUGUGUAGGGCUUCCUUCCCCUAACCAGUGUAGGACUCCUAAAGGGCAGAUGGAAGAGGCUUUACACCAGAAAUAGAGAGAUCACUCAAGACAAUAACCCUAGCCUCCGAGAUAUGAGAGGGAGAUCAAGCAAAGAGGACUGAAGACCCAAAGCAGCCUAAGGAUACUUUCUUCUCCAUUACUUUAUUUUCUUUGUUGGGUUUUAUUCAAUGGGUUGUUUUGUUUCUUCAUUUCUUGAGUUAACUGAAACCAUGCUAGGCUAGAUUUCUCUUUUUAGGGUUAGGGAUGUAACAACUCAAUUCAAACUAUGAUUGUUAUUUGAUUUAUUUCAAUAAAUUGGGGAUUUUACUUUGAUUCAAUCUUUUGUGUCUAAUGCUUGCUUGGUAUUUG